rnacentral:rRNA from 1 species
UGGGGAAUCUUGCACAAUGGUGGCAACCCUGAUGCAGCGACGCCGCGUGAGCGAUGAAGCCCUUCGGGGCGUAAAGCUCUUUCGACCGGAACGAUAAUGACGGUACCGGGAGAAGAAGCUGCGGCUAACUACGUGCCAGCAGCCGCGGUAAUACGUAGGCAGCAAGCGUUGUUCGGAGUUACUGGGCGUAAAGAGUGCGUAGGCGGUUUUCUAAGUUCGGUGUGAAAUCUCCCGGCUUAACUGGGAGGGUGCGCCGAAGACUGGGAAGCUGGAGUGUGGGAAAGGCAGGCGGAAUUCCUGGUGUAGCGGUGAAAUGCGUAGAUAUCAGGAGGAACACCGGCGGUGUAGACGGCUUGCUAGACCAUAACUGACGCUGAGGCACGAAAGCGUGGGUAGCAAACA